ACGCGUGGAACCUUACCAGGUCUUGACAUCCCAUUGACCGCUAUGGAGACAUAGCUUUCCCUUCGGGGACAGUGGUGACAGGUGGUGCAUGGUUGUCGUCAGCUCGUGUCGUGAGAUGUUGGGUUAAGUCCCGCAACGAGCGCAACCCUUGUUCUUAGUUGCCAUCAUUUAGUUGGGCACUCUAAGGUGACUGCCGGUGACAAACCGGAGGAAGGUGGGGAUGACGUCAAAUCAUCAUGCCCCUUAUGACCUGGGCUACACACGUGCUACAAUGGAUGGUACAAAGGGCUGCAAGACCGCGAGGUUUAGCCAAUCCCAUAAAACCAUUCUCAGUUCGGAUUGCAGGCUGCAACUCGCCUGCAUGAAGCUGGAAUCGCUAGUAAUCGCGGAUCAGCAUGCCGCGGUGAAUACGUUCCCGGGCCUUGCACUCACCGCCCGU
rnacentral:rRNA from 1 species